UAAGGGCACANGGAGGAUCCCUUGGUAUACACGGCGAUGAAGGACGUGACAAACUGCGAUAAGCCUCGACAAGCUGUUAAAAAGCGUUGAGUCGGGGAUUUCCGAAUGGGGAAACCUAAUUGGGGUAAUGCCCAUUAUUUAUAUCUGAAUACAUAGGAUAUAAAAGCUAACCUGGCGAACUGAAACAUCUAAGUAACCAGAGGAAAAUAAAUCAACCGAGAUUCCCUUAGUAGCGGCGAGCGAAACGGGAAGAGCCUAAACCUCACUCAUGCCAAGCGUACAGGCGUUGUGACUGGGGUGUUGUAGGGUGCUUUGUUAGGUCUCUGUAUGGACCUAGGCGAGUUACAAAGUUUUUUGUUAGCAGAAGUGAGUUGGAACACUUUGCCACAGAGGGUGAAAGCCCCGUAUGCGAAAACAUAAAACCUCGCUUAAUAAGCAAUUCCUGAGUACUGUGGAACACGUGAAAUUCCGCAGGAAUCCGGGUGGACCAUCAUCCAAGGCUAAAUACGGACGUAUGACCGAUAGUGGACCAGUACCGUGAGGGAAAGGUGAAAAGAACCCCGGGAGGGGAGUGAAAGAGAACGUGAAACCAUGUGCUUACAAGCUGUAGGAGGUUCCUUUUGGGACUGACUGCGUGCCUAUUGAAGAAUGUGCCGGCGACUUAUUGUUAGUGGCAAGGUUAAGUUUGUAAACGGAGCCGGAGCGAAAGCGAGUCUUAAUAGGGCGUAUAGUCGCUAGCAAUAGACCCGAAACCCAGUGAUCUAUCCAUGGGCAGGAUGAAGCGAGAGUAACAUCUCGUGGAGGUCCGAACCAUUUAAUGUUGAAAAAUUAUUGGAUGACCUGUGGAUAGUGGUGAAAUGCUAAUCGAACUGGGAGAUAGCUGGCUCUCUCCGAAAUGACUUUAGGGUCAGCCUUGAGGUUUAGCGCUUUAGAGGUAGAGCACUGUUUAGGCUAGGGGUGUCACCAACAUUACCAAACCUAGGCAAACUCCGAAUGCUAAAGUUGCGUACUCAGGAGUGAGUCUUAGAGGGCUAAGCUUCUAAGACAAAAGGGAAACAGCCCAGAUCAUCAGCUAAGGUCCCUAAUAUAUGCUAAGUGGGAAAGGAAGUGGAGUUGCUUAAACAACCAGGAGGUUGGCUUAGAAGCAGCCAUCCUUUAAAGAAAGCGUAAUAGCUCACUGGUCGAGCGAUUCUGCGCCGAAAAUGUAACGGGGCUAAGCAUAUAACCGAAGCUAUGAAAUUCAGUGCUUGCAUUGAGUUGGUAGGAGAGCGUUCUGUAGUAGGUUGAAGUCAAACUGAUAAGUUUGGUGGACGAAGCAGAAGUGAGAAUGUCGGCAUAAGUAACGAAAAGACAGGUGAGAAUCCUGUCCGCCGAAAACCUAAGGUUUCCUGGGGAAGGCUCGUCCGCCCAGGGUUAGUCGGACCUAAGCCGAGGCCGAAAGGCGUAGCGCGAUGGACAACAGGUUAAUAUUCCUGUACUACCUUAUGUUCGCUAUUAGCGAAGGGGUGACGCAGAUGGAUAGGUCAGCCACUUAUUGGAUUGUGGUUUAAGCUCGUAGGAGGGAAGAAUUGGCAAAUCCGUUCUUCCGUUACUCUGAGAAGUGAAUACGACCCGCUUGCGGGAUAGUGAUCGACUCCUCACUGACAAGAAAAACCUCUAGUGAGAAUAUAGGGUACCCGUACUAAAACCGACACAGGUAGGUGGGUAGAGAAUACUAAGGCGAUCGGGAUAACUCUCGUUAAGGAACUCGGCAAAUUAGCCUCGUAACUUCGGGAGAAGAGGUGCCCCAUUAAUGUGAAAGCCCUGCGGCUGGAGCAUGAAGGGGUUGCAGUGAAAUGGCUCAAGCGACUGUUUAUCAAAAACACAGGUCUCUGCUAAACCGAAAGGUGAUGUAUAGGGGCUGACGCCUGCCCAGUGCUGGAAGGUUAAUAGGAUUUGUUAAUGCCCUCGGGUAUGAAGCAUUGAAUUGAAGCCCCAGUGAACGGCGGCCGUAACUAUAACGGUCCUAAGGUAGCGAAAUUCCUUGUCGGGUAAGUUCCGACCCGCACGAAAGGCGUAACGAUUUGAGCACUGUCUCAACGAGAGACCCGGUGAAAUUGGAGUAUCCGUGAAGAUACGGAUUACCCGCAGCAAGACAGAAAGACCCCGUGGAGCUUUACUGUAACUUGGCUUUGUAUUUUGGACUAUCAUGUGCAGGAUAGGUGGGAGGCUUUGAUGUUAUGUCGUCAGAUGUAGCGGAGCCACCCUUGAGAUACCACCCUUGAUAUUUUGAAAUACUAACCAGAUCCCGUUAUCCGGGAUUGGGACAGAGUCUGGUGGGCAGUUUGACUGGGGCGGUCGCCUCCUAAAGAGUAACGGAGGCGCUCAAAGGUUCCCUCAAGGCGGUUGGAAAUCGUCUGUAGAGCGCAAGGGUAUAAGGGAGCUUGACUGCGAGACCUACAAGUCGAGCAGGGACGAAAGUCGGACCUAGUGAUCCGGUGGUUCCGCAUGGAAGGGCCAUCGCUCAACGGAUAAAAGUUACCCCGGGGAUAACAGGCUUAUCUCCCCCAAGAGUCCACAUCGACGGGGAGGUUUGGCACCUCGAUGUCGGCUCGUCGCAUCCUGGAGCUGUAGUCGGUUCCAAGGGUUGGGCUGUUCGCCCAUUAAAGCGGUACGUGAGCUGGGUUCAGAACGUCGUGAGACAGUUUGGUCCAUAUCUGCUAUAGGCGUAGGAAAUUUGAGAAGAGCUGUUCCUAGUACGAGAGGACCGGAAUGGACAUACCUCUGGUGUACCAGUUAUCCUGCCAAGGGUAAAUGCUGGGUAGCUACGUAUGGACGGGAUAACCGCUGAAAGCAUCUAAGCGGGAAGCCUCCUUCAAGAUAAGAUUUCCCAUCCCUUUAUGGGAGUAAGACCCCUUGAAGAUCACAAGGUUGAUAGGUUGGGCGUGUAAGCAUAGUAAUAUGUUCAGCGGACCAAUACUAAUCGGUCGAGGUUUUGAAG
rnacentral:rRNA from 1 species